rnacentral:tRNA from 1 species
AGGGAUAUGUUGUACAGGGUGGUGCGGUUUGAUUGCAGAUCAUAUAUAAGAGGUUCGAUUCCUCCAUAUCUCUA